CAGAGCCCGCCAGUCGCUGAGCCAGCCGGGGCCACACCUGGGGGUGACGUCACGCCUCACCUCCAGGAGGCACCUGGGCCUGUGUGUGGGCUCCCUCCGGCCCCUCUGCACUAACUUGCUCUCCCGCGGCUGCCUCGGGGGGCUGCCCGCCUGGGGGCCGCGGGCUCCGGGCUCCGGGCUCCCGGCCCGGCUCCGUCCAGCUUCGCCUCGACUAACCCCUGCCCUCCCGGUCUGUUCCUCGCAGCGGACACUAACGGCUUGUGGGUUUCUCUCUACUAACACCAGGUCUAACGCUCCUCGUUACCGUCACGUUAGCAGCUUGGAUGUCGGCAUGGCUGGG
rnacentral:lncRNA from 1 species